rnacentral:rRNA from 1 species
GACGAACGCUGGCGGUGUGCUUAUACAUGCAAGUCGAACGAUGAGGUCCUUCGGAGAUACAUCAGUGGCGGACGGGUGAGUAACACGUAGGUAUCUGCCUCAAGGAGGGGGAUAACANCGGGAAACUGGUGCUAAUACCCCAUAUGUCUUUCGAGAUGAAAGCUCCGGCGCCUUGAGAUGAGCCUGCGGCUGAUUAGCUAGUUGGUGGGGUAAAUGCCUACCAAGGCGACGAUCAGUAGCUGGUCUGAGAGGAUGAUCAGCCACAAUGGAACUGAGACACGGUCCAUACUCCUACGGGAGGCAGCAGUAGGGAAUUUUGCGCAAUGGGCGAAAGCCUGACGCAGCUACACCGCGUGUGGGAUGAAGCUUUUCGGAGUGUAAACCACUGUCAGUGGGGACGAAUAAAUGACGGUACCCACAGAGGAAGCAUCGGCUAACUACGUGCCAGCAGCCGCGGUAAGACGUAGGAUGCAAGCGUUGUCCGGAAUUAUUGGGCGUAAAGCGUUCGUAGGCGGCAUGCCAAGUCUGAUGUCAAAGCCCGGAGCUCAACUCCGGUUCGGCAUUGGAUACUGGCAAGCUAGAGUGCAGGAGAGGCAAGGGGAAUUCCUAGUGUAGCGGUGAAAUGCGUAGAUAUUAGGAGGAACACCAGUGGCGUAAGCGCCUUGCUGGACUGUAACUGACGCUGAGGGACGAAAGCCAGGGGAGCAAAUGGGAUUAGAUACCCCAGUAGUCCUGGCCGUAAACGAUGGAUACUAGGUGUCGCGGGUAUCGGCCCCUGCGGUGCUGCAGCUAACGCAAUAAGUAUCCCGCCUGGGGAGUACGCACGCAAGUGUGAAACUCAAAGGAAUUGACGGGGACCCGCACAAGCGGUGGAACAUGUGGUUUAAUUCGAAGCAACGCGAAGAACCUUACCAGGGCUUGACAUCCCGAGAACUUUCCAGAGAUGGAUUGGGUGCCCUUCGGGGAACUCGGUGACAGGUGGUGCACGGUUGUCGUCAGCUCGUGUCGUGAGAUGUUGGGUUAAGUCCCGCAACGAGCGCAACCCUCGUUGUUAGUUGCCAGUAAGAGCCUGCUCUUGCUGUGCUCUCUAGCGAGACUGCCGGUGAUAAACCGGAGGAAGGUGGGGACGACGUCAAAUCAUCAUGC